CCUACGGGUGGCAGCAGUGAGGAAUAUUGGUCAAUGGACGAGAGUCUGAACCAGCCAAGUAGCGUGAAGGAUGACUGCCCUAUGGGUUGUAAACUUCUUUUAUAAAGGAAUAAAACGAGGCACGUGUGCCCUUUUGCAUGUACUUUAUGAAUAAGGAUCGGCUAACUCCGUUCCAGCAGCCGCGGUAAUACAGAGGAUCCGAGCGUUAUCCGGAUUUAUUGGGUUUAAAGGGAGCGUAGAUGGGUUGUUAAGUCAGUUGUGAAAGUUUGCGGCUCAACCGUAAAAUUGCAAUUGAUACUGGCAGUCUUGAGUACAGUUGAGGUAGGCGGAAUUCGUGGUGUAGCGGUGAAAUGCUUAGAUAUCACGAAGAACCCCGAUUGCGAAGGCAGCUUACUAAACUGUGACUGACAUUGAUGCUCGAAAGUGUGGGUAUCAAACAGGAUUAGAUACCCCUGUAGUC
rnacentral:rRNA from 1 species